rnacentral:rRNA from 1 species
CCUACGGGAGGCAGCAGUGAGGAAUAUUGGUCAAUGGGCGCAAGCCUGAACCAGCCAAGUCGCGUGAGGGAUGAAGGCCCUAGGGAUCGUAAACCUCUUUUAUAAGGGAGUAAAGUGUGGGACAUGUCCUAUUUUGUAUGUACCUUAUGAAUAAGGAUCGGCUAACUCCGUGCCAGCAGCCGCGGUAAUACGGAGGAUCCGAGCGUUAUCCGGAUUUAUUGGGUUUAAAGGGUGCGUAGGCGGGCUUUUAAGUCAGUGGUGAAAGUCUGUGGCUCAACCAGAGAAUUGCAGUUGAUACUGGCAGGCUUGAGUAUGUUUGAGGUAGGAGGAAUGCGUGGUGUAGCGGUGAAAUGCUUAGAUAUCACGAAGAACCCCGAUUGCGAAGGCAGCCUGCUAAGCCAUGACUGACGCUGAUGCACGAAAGCGUGGGGAUCAAACAGGAUUAGAUACCCUUGUAGUC